rnacentral:tRNA from 3 species
UGGGGUGUCGUAUAAUGGCAGUACAACGGAUUCUGGUUCCGUCUGUGAGGGUUCGACUCCUUCCACCCCAGCCA